CGUGUUAGCCAGGAUGGUCUCGAUCUCCUGACCUCGUGAUCCGCCCGCCUGGGCCUCCCAAAGUGCUGGGAUUACAGGCGUGAGCCACCACGCCCAGCCCAUGUUUUAUUUCUUUAAAGAAAAACCUCUGAAGCAAAGAGGGCAAAUGACACAACGAUUUGACAAAGCCGGGUGAUGGAAACACAGGCCCCACGCAGAAAAUACGAUGUUCCUCCCAGAGCUGCAGAACGAACAGGCUGUGCUGGGUGAAAGAAAACACCACAGUUGGAUGCCAACUUUCCUUAGCAGGAGAAAGAAUGUGGCCUGGGGCCACCGCUGGCGAUGACAAAUUUGCUUCCAGAGCCCUCAGACAAAGCCCUUCCAGCGUGGGGCCCAGCAUGCGUCCUCAGAGGCUGGGGAGGCACCUCCUCUGCGGCCCAGGGAAGGGGCUCCCCAAGGACGCACAGCAGGGCCAGGGUGGACUCCUUCAGGCCGACCUGCACCUGGGGCCCGUGAUUAUCUUUAGGUAUAUAUAUCUCUCCAUCCCAGCCCUUGGAGACAGCCACCUGAGCGAUUUGGGGGUCCAUCUGAGCGAACAGCGGGUAGGAUGGCGGUCGGGAACUGGGGAAGAGACGGUCACAUCAGAUGAAAUGGAGCAAUAGUGUGGUCAGCACGGGCGGGGCUUGUCUUUUUCUCCCAGCUCAACUGAGGUGUAAUUCAUCAAUAAAAGUGUGUACAUUUAA